UACAGAGGUCUCAAGCGUUGUUCGGAUUCAUUGGGCGUAAAGGGUGCGUAGGCGGCCUGGUAAGUCUGGCGUGAAAGCCCAGGGCUCAGCCCUGGAAGUGCGCUAGAAACUGCGAGGCUCGAGUGCCGGAGGGGAGAGUGGAAUUCCUGGUGUAGCGGUGAAAUGCGUAGAUAUCAGGAGGAAUACCGGUGGCGAAAGCGACUCUCUGGACGGCAACUGACGCUGAGGCACGAAAGCGUGGGGAGCAAACAGG
rnacentral:rRNA from 1 species